rnacentral:rRNA from 1 species
UUCGCCCUUAGAGUUUGAUCCUGGCUCAGGACGAACGCUGGCGGCGUGCCUAACACAUGCAAGUCGAACGGAGCUAAGUUUACGGAUUUAGCUUAGUGGCAAACGGGUGAGUAACGCGUGAACAAUCUGUCUCAGAGUGGGGGAUAACACUUGGAAACGAGUGCUAAUACCGCAUAAGACCACAGUGCCGCAUGGCACAGAGGUAAAAGAUUUAUUGCUUUGAGGUGAGUUCGCGUCCCAUUAGGUAGUAGGCGGGGUAACGGCCCACCUAGCCGACGAUGGGUAGCCGAGCUGAGAGGCUGAUCGGCCACACUGGAACUGAGACACGGUCCAGACUCCUACGGGAGGCAGCAGUGGGGAAUAUUAGGCAAUGGGCGAAAGCCUGACCUAGCAACGCCGCGUGAGGGAAGAAGGUCUUCGGAUUGUAAACCUCUGUCCUUGGUGAAGAACACAAUGACAUUAGCCAAGGGAGAAAGCUCCGGCUAACUACGUGCCAGCAGCCGCGGUAAUACGUAGGGAGCGAGCGUUGUCCGGAAUUACUGGGCGUAAAGGGUGCGUAGGCGGUAGGCUAAGUUGGAUGUGAAAUACCUGGGCUUAACUUGGGGGCUGCAUUCAAAACUGGUUUACUAGAGUUCAGGAGAGGGAAGCGGAAUUCCUAGUGUAGCGGUAAAAUGCGUAGAUAUUAGGAGGAACACCGGUGGCGAAGGCGGCUUUCUGGACUGACACUGACGCUGAGGCACGAAAGCGUGGGGAGCAAACAGGAAGAGAUACCCUGGUAGUCCACGCCGUAAACGAUGAACACUAGGGGUAGGGGGUUAUACUCCCUCUUGUGCCGCAGCUAACGCAAUAAGUAUUCCCGCCUGGGGAGUUCGGUCGCAAGAUUAAAACUCAAAGGAAUUGACGGGGGGCCCGCACAAGCAGCGGAGCAUGUGGUUUAAUUCGACGCAGCGCGAAGAACCUUACCAAGGCUUGACAUCUAACUAAAAACUAUGGAAACAUAGCGUCCCUUCGGGGGAGUUGAGACAGGUGGUGCAUGGUUGUCGUCAGCUCGUGUCGUGAGAUGUUGGGUUAAGUCCCGCAACGAGCGCAACCCUUGUUACCAGUUACCAGCACGUAGCGGUGGGGACUCUGGUAAGACUGCCGGGGACAACUCGGAGGAAGGUGGGGACGACGUCAAAUCAUCAUGCCCCUUACGUCUUGGGCUACACACGUGCUACAAUGGCUGUUACAAAGGGAAGCAACCUCGCAAGAGGAAGCAAAUCUCAUAAAAGCAGUCUCAGUUCGGAUUGUGGGCUGCAACCCGCCCACAUGAAGUCGGAGUUGCUAGUAAUCGCGGAUCAGCAUGCCGC